AUGGACAGCGGUGGUUCCACUGCCAGUGGUGGAGUGUGGACUCCCCAUUGCAUCCCCGUCGCCACCGGCGCCGGUGUUUGACGCGGGAUCGUCCGCAUCGGCCCCCAUGGAUGUCGAUUUGGCAGCACCACCACCGCCUCCGCCCACUGCAGCGAUUGUUGCUCGUCGUUCGCCAUCUCCGCCGCCGCCCGUGGUCGUCGGAACCAUCGCUGCCCGUCGUGGGCAGCCCCCUCGCGCCGUCCAUGCUCCACGCGGACGUGUCAUCUUCACUGGCCACCGUCCAAAUGGGGUGGCUCCAUCUUCCUCCUCCAACGGGAGGGCCUAAUGGCCCUUUGUCCGGCCGGUGGUGGUUGCCGCCACGACGGCCGGUUGGGGGAGGGGGUUGGGGAGCGGCUUGGGCCCCAGGACGGCUCGCUCGGCUACGCAACUCGAGCGCGGGCGCGGAUCUGGGCCAGGGCGCGCGACCUCGCGCGCGAGGCAGGCGGCCAGAGAGCCCAACGCGGGCACGGCGGCCCCG
rnacentral:misc_RNA from 1 species